rnacentral:rRNA from 1 species
UACGUAGGGUGCGAGCGUUGUCCGGAAUUAUUGGGCGUAAAGAGCUCGUAGGCGGUGUGUCGCGUCGGCCGUGAAAACCUGGGGCUUAACUCUGGGCGUGCGGUCGAUACGGGCAUCACUAGAGUUCGGCAGGGGAGACUGGAAUUCCUGGUGUAGCGGUGAAAUGCGCAGAUAUCAGGAGGAAUACCGGGGGUGUAGACGGCUCUCUGGACCGCCACUGACGCUGAGACACGAAAGCGUGGGUAGCAAACAGG